rnacentral:rRNA from 1 species
GUGGGGAAUUUUGGACAAUGGGCGAAAGCCUGAUCCAGCCAUGCCGCGUGUGUGAAGAAGGUCUUCGGAUUGUAAAGCACUUUAAGUUGGGAGGAAGGGCAGUAAGUUAAUACCUUGCUGUUUUGACGUUACCGACAGAAUAAGCACCGGCUAACUUCGUGCCAGCAGCCGCGGUAAUACGAAGGGUGCAAGCGUUAAUCGGAAUUACUGGGCGUAAAGCGCGCGUAGGUGGUUCAGCAAGUUGAAGGUGAAAUCCCCGGGCUCAACCUGGGAACUGCCUCCAAAACUACUGAGCUAGAGUACGGUAGAGGGUAGUGGAAUUUCCUGUGUAGCGGUGAAAUGCGUAGAUAUAGGAAGGAACACCAGUGGCGAAGGCGACUACCUGGACUGAUACUGACACUGAGGUGCGAAAGCGUGGGGAGCAAACAGGAUUAGAAACCCGGGUAGUCC